AACGAACGCUGGCGGUAUGCUUAACACAUGCAAGUCGAACGAAUGUAUUAAUUUCGGUUAAUACGUUAGUGGCAGACGGGUGAGUAACGCGUGGGAAUGUACCCUUUAGUUCAGAAUAACUACGGGAAACUGUAGCUAAUACUGGAUAAGCCCUUCGGGGGAAAGAUUAAUCGCUAAAGGAACAGCCCGCGUUAGAUUAGGUAGUUGGUGAGGUAAAGGCUCACCAAGCCGACGAUCUAUAGCUGGUUUGAGAGGAUGAUCAGCCACACUGGGACUGAGACACGGCCCAGACUCCUACGGGAGGCAGCAGUGGGGAAUAUUGGACAAUGGGGGCAACCUUGAUCCAGCAAUACCGCGUGAGUGAAGAAGGCCUUCGGGUUGUAAAGCUCUUUUACCGGGGAAGAUAAUGACGGUACCCGGGGAAUAAGCUCCGGCUAACUUCGUGCCAGCCGCCGCGGUAACAC
rnacentral:rRNA from 1 species